GCCAUUUUGUAACUGCGUAGAGGAUAUGAUGUGACGUCGUAGUUCUUAAUUUCACCAAGAAAAGAUGUGCUUGUGGUUGAAAUACCAAGAUGCAAACAAGCAAACAUUUUCAUGUGCUUGUUUGAUGGGAAAUCAAGCAUUUUAAUUAGUUGUGUCAAGACUUAAUGUCGGAUCUACACUCGAGCUUGCAAGAAGAAGAAGAAUGGAAUCAGGAAUUGUUGAGAAUAUGACACUCUGAGAUGUGUGGAAAGAUGUGCAGGGAGGCUGCCCGGUAUAGGGCCUCUUGCAUUGGCUGCUGAGAGACUCAAGCCCAUAAAGUACCAGAGAAGCUUUACUGUAGUGAAAUCUUUGUAAUCAUCAUCCUGCAAUACAGACGAGGUCUACAAAAGGGAUAUGACAAGACAAGCAAGCACAUAAGAAAAUGAGAUGAUGAAAAGCCUCUUCAGUUGUUUGUGUUCUGCUAAGAUGUUGCCUAGCAACAAGGGACGCUCAGUACUUUGAUAACAUCUUUAAGGUUAUGGCUCCUGAAUUGACGACAAAGCUUGCAGAGGAUUGGAUCCCAAUGGGAGAGACUGAAAGAGAACAGGUGAGGAGGGCGACUCCAGGAAUGUGCCCCCAUUACAAUUUAAGCUUGAGGCGGCCAUGGGCGCAAGUCUUUGUUGGACCACAACACUGCACUCCCAAAACUCAAGGCAUACAUGAAGGACAUUCACCAAUUAGGCGACUGCAAACAAGAUGGUGACUGGCAAAAACAGUGGCUCUUCAUUUUACAUCAAGAUUUUCGCAACAGCCACACACAGUCACUUCCAUCACAGUUGGAGAUGUGCAGUUAAACUCCUCAGAAGCCAGAAAUCUCUGUGCAGUCAUGGAUGAACAUCUAUCAUUGUCAUGCCUCGUUAACGAACUGGGAAGUUUGAUUGGUCGUCAACCAAUCACGUGAUGUACCACGGCUGCUGUCGCGGCGGGUAAUAUUAGUGAUGUUAACCGGUGUACAUUACCUUGAGCGUUUCAACCGUUGGUCGAUUUUCAGCGCUUAGUAUGAAACAUCCGCGGGCUCAAGGGAAAAGUGAAGAAUUGUAUUCAACUGUGUAAAAAUGUUUGAAGUUGACAACAAAACUUCGAGAAGAGGAAUAUUAAUGUUACCAAGGUAUUAUAAUAACAAAACAAUUGUUGCGCGCUGUAAUUGGGGCCCAUGGGUUUUAUACACCCUCGAGGGAAAAUUGCACCCCUGGCUUCGCCUUGUGGUCCAUUUUCCCCCCGCGGGUGUACAAAAUGCCAUGGACCACGUCACAGCGUGCAACAAUUGUACUGAAGGCCCCUGUCAACACCCUAUGCUCUUCAAUGACUGCCAUGCGAAAGAUGUUUUUUUAAAUUUAGAAAAUAUUGAUCCGCACAAUAACGUUGUACCUGGAAAUUGUUUGGUUUUUCUUUUUGCCCUCUUGAACUGACCCAACCCACCAGUUUGUUGAAGCAAAUUCAUGUCUGGUUGAAAAUGUUGAACCAUUUUAGCUCACAAAAUAAAUGGCAAACCUUACAGUUUUGAAGUACAUUAUCCACUACGUUUAUUCCACUACGUUAAAAUUUAUUCUGUCCAACCAGGUUCAUGUCAUAACUAUACACUACUUUCAAAACAUGUUGCCAACCAGAUAAUAACCAAAUCGUGAAUUACCUCACAUAGGGACAUGUUGGCUGUUUUUGGCUUUAGAAAGUGCCUGCUAUGAAAAGAUGGUUGUAAAUAUGUUCCAAAUUUAAGGAUCCACACUAGGCCUACCUAGAAAUUGUUUGGUUUUCUAUUUGCCCUCUUGAGCACGGUCUGCCAAUUCAAUAAAUACGUUUAUUCCAUACUCUUGUUUGAGAAAAAGAACAACUGCCUCAAAACCUCACAGUUCUGAGGCAUGUUAGUGUAAAUAUUGAUACCCUACAUUUAAAACAUAAUUCCAACCAGGGCCCCAAUUCAUAAAGCUGCUUGACAAAUUUCUUUGCUAAGUAAAGUUGCGUUGGGGCACCAGCUAAAACAGCGUGAAACUUAAUGUUAUUUUGGUUGGAAACUUGUUUCUGUUCAGCAAUACAUUUCUGUGCUAAGCAAGUCGCUUUGCUUCCAGACUUUAUUAAAUUGAAAUUUGAGAUCUGAGGAAUUUUAAAGGCAGUGGACACUAUUGGUAAUGGCUCAAAAUAGUUAUUGUCAUUAAACCUUUCUUGGU